rnacentral:lncRNA from 1 species
CCCACGAACUUGGAACUCCAUGCACCUCAAGCGAUACUACUACUGACGACCUCGCUCUCCUUAUAUAUAUAUAUAUAUAAAAAAAAAAAAAAAAAAAAAAAAAAAAAAAAAAAAAAAGGUAGCUCGGCCUUACCGAUGCCUCUCUAUGUAAUGUGAACUACGAACGGCUUGAUCCCUCCGAUCAGGGGGUACGUAGGCAGC